AGAGUUUGAUCCUGGCUCAGGACGAACGCUGGCGGCACGCUUAACACAUGCAAGUCGAACGAGAGAAGAGGAGCUUGCUUUUCUGAUCUAGUGGCGGACGGGUGAGUAACACGUGGGCAAUCUGCCUUUCAGAGGGGGAUACCGAUUGGAAACGAUCGUUAAUACCGCAUAACAUAAUUGAACCGCAUGAUUUGAUUAUCAAAGAUUUAUCGCUGAAAGAUGAGCUCGCGUCUGAUUAGCUAGUUGGUAAGGUAACGGCUUACCAAGGCGACGAUCAGUAGCCGGACUGAGAGGUUGAUCGGCCACAUUGGGACUGAGACACGGCCCAGACUCCUACGGGAGGCAGCAGUGGGGAAUAUUGCACAAUGGAGGAAACUCUGAUGCAGCGAUGCCGCGUGAGGGAAGAAGGUUUUAGGAUUGUAAACCUCUGUCUUCAGGGACGAAAAAAGACGGUACCUGAGGAGGAAGCUCCGGCUAACUACGUGCCAGCAGCCGCGGUAAUACGUAGGGAGCGAGCGUUGUCCGGAAUUACUGGGUGUAAAGGGAGCGUAGGCGGGAUCGCAAGUCAGAUGUGAAAACUAUGGGCUUAACCCAUAAACUGCAUUUGAAACUGUGGUUCUUGAGUGAAGUAGAGGUAAGCGGAAUUCCUAGUGUAGCGGUGAAAUGCGUAGAUAUUAGGAGGAACAUCAGUGGCGAAGGCGGCUUACUGGGCUUUAACUGACGCUGAGGCUCAAAAGCGUGGGGAGCAAACAGGAUUAGAUACCCUGGUAGUCCACGCCGUAAACGAUGAUUACUAGGUGUGGGGGGACUGACCCCUUCCGUGCCGCAGCAAACGCAAUAAGUAAUCCACCUGGGGAGUACGACCGCAAGGUUGAAACUCAAAGGAAUUGACGGGGGCCCGCACAAGCAGUGGAGUAUGUGGAUUAAUUCGAAGCAACGCGAAGAACCUUACCAGGUCUUGACAUCGUAUGCAUAGCUCAGAGAUGAGUGAAAUCUCUUCGGAGACAUAUAGACAGGUGGUGCAUGGUUGUCGUCAGCUCGUGUCGUGAGAUGUUGGGUUAAGUCCCGCAACGAGCGCAACCCUUACUGUUAGUUGCUACGCAAGAGCACUCUAGCAGGACUGCCGUUGACAAAACGGAGGAAGGUGGGGAUGACGUCAAAUCAUCAUGCCCCUUAUGACCUGGGCCUCACACGUACUACAAUGGCUGUCAACCGGGGGAAGCAAAGCCGCGAGGUGGAGCGAACCCCUAAAAGCAGUCUUAGUUCGGAUUGUAGGCUGCAACCCGCCUACAUGAAGUCGGAAUUGCUAGUAAUCGCAGAUCAGCAUGCUGCGGUGAAUACGUUCCCGGGCCUUGUACACACCGCCCGUCACGCCAUGGGAGUCGGUAACACCCGAAGCCUGUAGUCUAACCGCAAGGAGGACGCAGUCGAAGGUGGGAUUGAUGACUGGGGUGAAGUCGUAACAAGGUA
rnacentral:rRNA from 1 species